CCUACGAGGGGCUGCAGUGGGGAAUAUUGGACAAUGGGGGCAACCCUGAUCCAGCCAUGCCGCGUGUGUGAAGAAGGCCCUCGGGUUGUAAAGCACUUUCAGUGAGGAAGAACGCCUGGUGGUUAAUACCCAUCAGGAAAGACAUCACUCACAGAAGAAGCACCGGCUAACUCCGUGCCAGCAGCCGCGGUAAUACGGAGGGUGCGAGCGUUAAUCGGAAUUACUGGGCGUAAAGCGCGCGUAGGUGGCUUGAUAAGCCGGUUGUGAAAGCCCCGGGCUCAACCUGGGAACGGCAUCCGGAACUGUCAAGCUAGAGUGCAGGAGAGGAAGGUAGAAUUCCCGGUGUAGCGGUGAAAUGCGUAGAGAUCGCGAGGAAUACCAGUGGCGAAGGCGGCCUUCUGGACUGACACUGACACUGAGGUGCGAAAGCGUGGGUAGCAAACAGGAUUAGAUACCCCAGUAGUC
rnacentral:rRNA from 1 species